AAAAAAAAAAAAAAAAAACACCUUAAUUGAGAAUCAAGAUAAGACCUUGAAAUUCAACAAAUUGUGGAGCAGUGCACCAGUAAGGAACAUGUCUUGAAUCUAUCAUAAUGGAUAGGCAAUUGAAGCAACUUAGAAGUUUGAAGCGUUAUUUCAGAAGAACAAAUGGAAGAAAGCAGAAGUUGUUUACCUUUACUGUUGCUACAGCUUCCACAGCGCCUGAAGCUCCCAGUAGGUGGCCAAUCAUGGAUUUUGUAGAGUUCACUCUUAGCUGCAAAAAUUGUAUCAAACUAAGAAUUCUGGAGACUGGAGUGAACGCUUAGUUAAGGCAGAGGAGACAAGAGUAUGCGCUUUCCCGUUUACCUCAGGGUUUUGGCCAAAACAACGAACUAGAGCUUGGAAUUCUGUACGAUCACCUGUUUGUGUUGAUGUGGCAUGUGCAUUUAUAUAGUUUACAUCUUCUUUGGAUACACCAGAUUGAGCUAAGGCUUGUUCUAUGCAAAGAGCAAUUCCCAUUCCUGAUUUUAGAGAUGAAAACAGGAAUAGUUCAGCUCAGAUUUCCACAGGUGUGGAUCUUUUCACAAACAUAAAAUGCUGGAAUGCUUUAACCAAUGGGCUUUAUCUUAACAGCAGUAGGGCUGUGAGGUCUAUUUCCAAUGGAAACUAAAUGCAUAAAAAAAAGGGAGAAAUGCCGGAAUGCUUUUCCAGGCAAAGCCAGAAGAGCAAAAGGGAAAAAGAAUUUGUUUUUUUCCAACUUCUACUUGGGAUUUUUUUUUUGGCUAGUUUGGAAAGCUUGCUUACCAUCAGGAUGAGGUUCAGUCAUGUGAUAAGCAUCACAA
rnacentral:misc_RNA from 1 species